UACAGAGGCCCCAAGCGUUGUUCGGAUUCACUGGGCGUAAAGGGUGCGUAGGUGGUGAGGUAAGUCGGAUGUGAAAGCUCGGAGCUCAACUCCGAAAUGGCAUUGGAAACUACCUUGCUCGAGGGUUGGAGGGGGGACUGGAAUGCUUGGUGUAGCAGUGAAAUGCGUAGAUAUCAAGCGGAACACCAGUGGCGAAGGCGAGUCCCUGGACAACUCCUGACACUGAGGCACGAAAGCUAGGGGAGCAAACAGG
rnacentral:rRNA from 1 species